UAAGGAAUAUUGGUCAAUGGACGCAAGUCUGAACCAGCCAUGCCGCGUGGAGGAUGAAGGUCCUCUGGAUUGUAAACUUCUUUUAUCUGGGAAGAAAUCACUUUUUUCUAAAGGUGUUGACGGUACCAGAUGAAUAAGCACCGGCUAACUCCGUGCCAGCAGCCGCGGUAAUACGGAGGGUGCAAGCGUUAUCCGGAUUCACUGGGUUUAAAGGGUGCGUAGGCGGAAUGGUAAGUCCGUGGUGAAAUCUCCGAGCUUAACUCGGAAACUGCCGUGGAUACUAUCAUUCUUGAAUGUUGUGGAGGUUUGCGGAAUAUGUCAUGUAGCGGUGAAAUGCUUAGAUAUGACAUAGAACACCGAUUGCGAAGGCAGCAGGCUACACAAAUAUUGACGCUGAGGCACGAAAGCGUGGGGAUCAAACA
rnacentral:rRNA from 1 species